rnacentral:rRNA from 1 species
UGGUCAUUUAGAGGAAGUAAAAGUCGUAACAAGGUUUCCGUAGGUGAACCUGCGGAAGGAUCAUUAAAGAAUGCCCCGUUUUUUGAAAUGGGUUCUAUUCCCAAACCGUGUAUACAUACCUUUGUUGCUUUGGCAGGCCGCCUUCGGGCGUCGGCUCACGCUGACCGCGCCUGCCAGAGGACCCAAACUCGUUUGUUUAGUGAUGUCUGAGUACUAUAUAAUAGCUAAAACUUUCAACAACGGAUCUCUUGGUUCUGGCAUCGAUGAAGAACGCAGCGAAAUGCGAUAAGUAAUGUGAAUUGCAGAAUUCAGUGAAUCAUCGAAUCUUUGAACGCACAUUGCGCCCCUUGGUAUUCCGAGGGGCAUGCCUGUUCGAGCGUCAUUAUGACCACUCAAGCCUAGCUUGGUAUUGGGGUUCGCGGUCUCGCGGCCCUUAAAAUCAGUGGCGGUGCCAUCUGGCUCUAAGCGUAGUAAUUUAUCUCGCUAUUGGGUCCGGUGGUUGCUUGCCAACAACCCCCAACUUCUAAGGUUGACCUCGGAUCAGGUAGGGAUACCCGCUGAACUUAAGCAUAUCAAUAAGCGGAGGA